GAGAGAUUUAUGAAGCUUUUGACAAUAUUUACCCUAUUCUGAAAGGAUUUAAAAAACAAUGAUGGUGGUGUGUACAGACAGUUCAGUGAGAUUGUGCUAUCAUAUUUGAAAUUGUGAAAUCAGACGUGUCAUGAUCAUGUGCUUAAAUAAUGUACUUAGAAACCAGCUUUAUUUAAAAGAAACGUGAAGUCCAUUUAUCAUGAUCGGAGAUUGUCAUGAAAAUGUUGAAAAGAUUAAAAAAUAAUUAUGUAACAUUUUAUAUAAAAGACAGUUUAUUUUUCUACAAUUGAUAUUUAACAGAAAUUCAGAAAUCACAAUUGUGGGAGAGUUCAGUAUUUGUGGUGUUUUAAGUAAAUGAGAAGUUGUCCAAGAAGUUGUCCAUCAUGAUCCAUCAGUCAACAUUUUUUGUAUUUUUGUAUAUAAACCAGUGUUUUAUAUCAUUGUUCAAUCAUGUAGAUUGUAGUUGUGUUUUCUCUACAAAAUUUAUGUUGUUGAUAUUGAGAAAUCACACCUUGAAAUGUAUUCUCUCCUUGAAUAAAGAAAAAACUAU
rnacentral:misc_RNA from 1 species